UGCAUAUUUAGUCCCUUUGACAAGAUGAUAUUUCUUCUUAUUAGCAGUGCUCCCCCUCAUAUCAAAAAAUGACUUCUGUUUUUAUCAAUCUUAUCAUGAUGGUCUGGAGUAAGAGAAAUAUAGACAUUUGAUAAUAUAGCAGAAUUGUUCAAACUGGAUUUAAUCAGAACACCUCUCCAAGCCAUUGUUAGGAAACUACCAUGCCAUACAUCUAAUCUUUUAGCAGAUUUCUCAUAGACGUGUAGCCUGUAAAUGAUGUGGAGUCUGCUAGGACUUAUACGAACCCUUUGUGGGGAACAGACCCAAUAUAUAUUUACUUUUUCACUAUCAUCGUUAAUCAUCAGUACCUAACAUUUAGAAAAGUUAAGUUUCAGCCCAGAAAGCAUUACAUAUAUAUACAGCAAAAAAAUCAUGUUUCGAGCCAUGUCUUGGUCAUCUUUGAUGAACAAAAUUAUCAUCUGCAUAGGGCAGAAUAUCCACCCCAUUGUCAACCAGGUUCCUGAACAAACCCUCAACAAAGGCUAUUUUCCUAGGCAUUCAGCACCAUUCUACUCAAGGCAUCAACAACAAAAUUGAAAAGGAUUGGGGGAAAAGGGUCAUCCGGUGUAACUCCUUUGUGCUAGAAAAGUUGGGGCCAGUCUUAUUACUAAACUUGACACAAAUUGUGCCAUUUUUCGCCAUGUGUUCCAUCCACAUGCACCAUUUUGAGGAAAACCCCCUAGGCCUUGGAGUUCUAGACAACAAGUUUCAAUUGACCUUGUCAUAAGCUUUGUCAAAGUCACAACUUCAAAAACAGCGUCGAUGAUGGGUCUAAAUCUAUUUUCACUAUUGGUUUUGCCAUUCGGCGAGUGAAAGUGGGUGAUUAUAAUAAACUUCAUCACCAUUGGUUUUAAACUGGCAGUGAUAAUGGCGAUCACCACCGGCCCAACCGACUGUGAUAAUCACAAAAAAAACAAAAAAAAGAUACAGCGACCCAAUGACUGAGCACAUUUCCAUCCCGCUGACACUGCCAUGCUAUCCACACCAUAGUGGCAGUCAUUUCCCUCAUCGUGGCCUACUAGAUCCACAUCACCGGCCAUAUCCUCUCUUGAGCCCAUCCCCAUCUACCCAUCUCUAUGUUGGCUUGCUGCCUCCUUGUGCCACCAGCAGCCAUCACCGCUGACAAAUCUGAGAGACUGAGAGGUCGAAGGAGAUUAAUAGAGGAGAUAGAGCACACCUCCAAGCUAGGGUUUCACAAGACAGGGUCUAAGUGCCAUACUGGGGGCACACACCACGUGAGGGCAUUGCCAUCAUCAAAGAUGGCCAAACUGGCUACGUGGCCUAGCCUGGCAUGAGCUUGGCCAAGGCAUGGGUGAUAGUGGUCGGGCCAGCACGGCAUGGACGGUGCAUCGGUCCAUGUCGUGUCCUCUCAUGCGUGGCUGGUAUGGCCCAAGAAUGGCUAUAUAGGCCUCGAGCCUUGUCGGGCUAGCCCAUCAGUCCGGUGAGCCUGGCGUGGUC
rnacentral:lncRNA from 1 species